rnacentral:lncRNA from 1 species
CCAAGGCUUCUGUUGGGUUUAGCAAGUUGUGAGCAAAAGCUGUUGUCACACCUCUGAAGAAAGUGAUGCCAUGGUCAUCUUUCCACAGCGAGGGUUGGACAUACUUUAACUGAGUGAUCGUACUCCAGGAUGCUCUCUUGAUUGAGCUGCGUGGGGGAGAUCUUAUCUCUACACGCCACCAGCAGCCAGGAGAUACCCAGAGAAAGCUCCAUUUUGGGUACAGAAUGAGUUUAGGGACUCUCUAUGGAGAGUCUCUGUAAGAUGGUGUCUGGGCCCUGAGCAGCCUCAUCUGGAGACUCCUACUUGCCUCAGUUUUGGACAAUGGAAAGACGGAAAGAAAGUUUACUUUUCUGUGGCUUUCUCCCUUUUUUGACCUAUGAAUCAUAGAAAGCAGAUGUAAUUUUUAUUUACAUAUGUCGUAUGUUGCCUUUGAGACUUUGGAAAGAAGAUAGAAUUUGAGAGUCACCUCAAGGGGACUCUUCAUUCCCUCGUGUCAACUUGUCACUGAGUCAGGUCAAGGGCACAGCCCAGGGAGAGGCGGCCCUGGUCAGGUCAGCACCCAGAUGGGUUGGUGCAGCUUAAGGGCCCAGGGAGCUCUGUGCAGCUUCAUCCCCAGCUGCACAGAGCAGGAUGCACUCUGGGGGCGGCACAUGAGGCACUGCGGGUCCAGCUCUGGUGCAAACAGAGAGUGAAGGGCUGCAUCUGCCUGUUAAACGCUGCAUACAGUACAGAUCUUCGUGCUGUUGGAAGAACACCAAAACUGACAGCCAACACAGUAGAGGAACACAGGUAAAUACACAAAAAAAUCAUAUAAAUAUCAUCUUAGAGCCACUUCCUAAAUACUAUCUAAUACUGGGAAUCAGGACAUUGGGCAAGAGGUUACUAAUUCUGAGAACUCAUCUCCUGUACUUCAUAGUUAAGAAUUUCUUCCCUUUUCCUGUGCUUCACAACAAAGAUAGUAACACUUUAAAUUUCCCUUCUAAGUGUGGUAGUAGGAGUAAUAAUCCAAGGUAGUUCAGUUAAAAAACAAGUUCUGACCUAACCUUAUAAAUGCCAUCAUUUCUAUAUCAAAUAAACAUGGAUGGGUUGAUAUAGUAGGGCUUCA